CUGAAGCUUUAAUGCUUUGUCUAUCGUUAAUGUGUUGUAUUGCGAUCGAACUAAUCGAUUUUGUUUGGAUUCUGCUUUGUUUUCUCCGAGGUUCAGUUGAAGGAACUUUGGGUUUUGCAGAGCAUUCGUGUGAAGGAAGUUUUAACCACGAGACUGGAGCAGCUCGAGGUUAGGGCAACUUACUAUUAGCUAUGACUGCAUGAUAGGCGUCGAUAAGUUCGACUUAUGCUU
rnacentral:lncRNA from 1 species